GCCGCCACCUCUCCUUCCCCCGUUCGUCCUCUCCCGCCGCCGCCACCACCCCUAUCUCUCCUCCUUUCUCCUCGACGCCAUCAACGCGAGUGGGCACUCGCUGGAUCUGGUGGUCAGUGCGGGAUGCAACAGCGCAUCUGGCCGGAGGAGAACGCGGCGGCUGCAUCUCCUGGCAAUGGUAGUGGGGGCGGGUGGAUGAGGAGGCGACAUCUCGGGAGGUAGGCAAGAGGAACCAGGCGGUUCUCCUUCCAUGGCGGUACCCCGACCUGUCGGAUCUUCAUCGUCAUCAGCCCGGCGGACAGUAAGGUGUUCUAUUUUUCAACGUGCUGCAGCUACCACUUUGCCACUGCCCUGACUCCUUCCUGCAGACCAUGGAUCUGUCGUCGAUGCAGAGCGUCAACAGGGUGAAGGUUUGCCACCCUAGCAGACUCGUGUGUUGUUGCCGCCGCAAUCCUUCUCUUUGUUGGAGUCUUCCUCCUCUGGAGAGAAAAAAAUUGGUCUCUUUGACACGCUUGGGAUCGACGGAUCGUUCAUGCCAUGGUUGGAUUUGAAUGGGGCAGUGUCUAUCCAAAAUUUGUUUGGUUGACUGGACAAUUUGUUUGUUUGGUUGUCUUAAUGUAACCCGAUUCGCAUAAUUUUGAAAACAUCAGCAAAGAUUUCAGUGGCUGGGAGUGUUUGCCAGAGUGGAAACGAAGCAUUUGCUGGAAGGAGCUCAAGAUUUCGCUAUUACCCUGCUGAUAGUUUUGUGAGGUAAUUUAGCUACACAUUUGCAUGUUUCUUUUCUGCUGUAGCAAUGCCUAUUUCAAUUUAGAAAGUAGAUAUAUGAAGUGUGAUUUAAGUGUCUAAUAGCGGAUGUUGUUAGCAGUCUAAUUUCUCCCAAGCAGCUGCUUUCAAUGG